rnacentral:rRNA from 1 species
CAACAGGGAUUGCCCUAGUAACGGCGAGUGAAGCGGCAACAGCUCAAAUUUGAAAUCUGGCUCUUUUAGAGUCCGAGUUGUAAUUUGCAGAGAGCGCUUUGGCGUUGGCAGCGGUCCAAGUUCCUUGGAACAGGACGUCACAGAGGGUGAGAAUCCCGUACGUGGUCGCUAACCUUCGCCGUGUAAAGCCUCUUCGACGAGUCGAGUUGUUUGGGAAUGCAGCUCUAAAUGGGAGGUAAAUUUCUUCUAAAGCUAAAUACUGGCCAGAGACCGAUAGCGCACAAGUAGAGUGAUCGAAAGAUGAAAAGCACUUUGGAAAGAGAGUCAAACAGCACGUGAAAUUGUUGAAAGGGAAGCGCUUGCAGCCAGACUUGCCCGCAGUUGCUCAUCCGAACUUUUGUUCGGUGCACUCUUCUGCGGGCAGGCCAGCAUCAGUUUGGGCGGUUGGAUAAAGGUCUCUGUCAUGUACCUCCUCUCGGGGAGGCCUUAUAGGGGAGACGACAUGCAACCAGCCUGGACUGAGGUCCGCGCAUCUGCUAGGAUGCUGGCGUAAUGGCUGUAAGCGGCCCGUCUUGAAACACGGACCAAGGAGUCUAACAUCUAUGCGAGUGUUUGGGUGUCAAGCCCGAGCGCGUAAUGAAAGUGAACGGAGGUGGGAACCCUUAAGGGUGCACCAUCGACCGAUCCUGAUGUCUUCGGAUGGAUUUGAGUAAGAGCAUGGCUGUUGGGACCCGAAAGAUGGUGAACUAUGCUUGAAUAGGGUGAAGCCAGAGGAAACUCUGGUGGAGGCUCGCAGCGGUUCUGACGUGCAAAUCGAUCGUCAAAUUUGGGCAUAGGGGCGAAAGACUAA